GAUUUUUGUUUUACUCGUGUGAGAAAUGAUGAGGUACCCUUCGAGGGAACGUUUUCGUUAUGAGGGUUUCCUCAAAUCUCUGAAUUCAAGGGAUUUUUGUGAGUGGGAGUGAAACGCAACCAAAUUUUUGUUUAAGAUGCUUUCUGCUUUGUUUGUACGCUGCUGAUUUUUUUCAAUUAUGGUCCCCUCUUAUACCUUAUGUAUGUAUUGCUGCAGUUAUGCGUAUGAUAUAUGUAAUUGCAAAUUUGGAACGUACGUUGAUGUGUGUUUAUGGUAUACUUCUUUUUUAAACUUGUUGAAAAUGUGAUGGUACUAUUUUCAAAUAUGUAUUCUUGUUUAAUAUGCUACGAUGCAUAAAGGUCCCACCUUGAUUUGUUUCUUGUAUGUUGGAUAUUGAGUUGUAUUAUGAUGCUUGUGAUGUGUAUAUUGAUUGAUGACGAUAUGUGCUCUCUUGAUUUUCCUUAUUUUGUUAAUGCGGAUAUGGCAUGUAUGAUGCUAAUACUGAUUUCAGGCCAAUCUUGCUUAAUUCAUUUGGGAUUGUGUAAUGCAUGAUACACAAAUUGAUAGCAUGAUGAAGAGAAUUGUGUGGGAAAACUUGGGAUCAUCUUCCUAUUUUCAUGUUUUAAACUAGUGUUCCCUUUUAAAAUCGAAAUCCCCUUUGUAUUUGCACUCUUCAACAAGGACGAUGCAAUAUGCUUAUGAGGAAAAAAAGCUCUCUCUUUUUUGUAAUUUGCAAUGUAUGGUUUGAGUGCAAUAAACAAAAAUACCUUAUUUCAUUUCGAAUUCAAAAA
rnacentral:lncRNA from 1 species